rnacentral:rRNA from 1 species
AGUGAACGCUGGCGGUAGGCCUAACACAUGCAAGUCGAACGGCAGCACAGGAGAGCUUGCUCUCUGGGUGGCGAGUGGCGGACGGGUGAGGAAUACAUCGGAAUCUACCUUUUCGUGGGGGAUAACGUAGGGAAACUUACGCUAAUACCGCAUACGACCUACGGGUGAAAGUGGGGGACCGCAAGGCCUCACGCGAUUAGAUGAGCCGAUGUCCGAUUAGCUAGUGGGCGGGGUAAGGGCCCACCCAGGCGACGAUCGGUAGCUGGUCUGAGAGGAUGAUCAGCCACACUGGAACUGAGACACGGUCCAGACUCCUACGGGAGGCAGCAGUGGGGAAUAUUGGACAAUGGGCGCAAGCCUGAUCCAGCCAUAUCGCGUGGGUGAAGAAGGCCUUCGGGUUGUAAAGCCCUUUUGUUGGGAAAGAAAUCCUGUCGAUUAAUACUCGGUGGGGAUGACGGUACCCAAAGAAUAAGCACCGGCUAACUUCGUGCCAGCCGCCGCAGUAACAC